rnacentral:rRNA from 1 species
AUUGAACGCUGGCGGCAGGCCUAACACAUGCAAGUCGAGCGGAGGAAGGGAGCUUGCUUCUGGAUUCAGCGGCGGACGGGUGAGUAAUUCCUAGGAAUCUGCCUUGUAGUGGGGGAUAACGUCCGGAAACGGGCGCUAAUACCGCAUACGUCCUGAGGGUGAAAGUGGGGGAUCUUCGGACCUCACGCUAUCAGAUGAGCCUAGGUCGGAUUAGCUAGUUGGUGGGGUAAAGGCCUACCAAGGCGACGAUCCGUAACUGGUCUGAGAGGAUGAUCAGUCACACUGGAACUGAGACACGGUCCAGACUCCUACGGGAGGCAGCAGUGGGGAAUAUUGGACAAUGGGCGAAAGCCUGAUCCAGCCAUGCCGCGUGUGUGAAGAAGGUCUUCGGAUUAUAAAGCCCUUUAAGUUGGGAGGAAGGGCAGUAAGUUAAUACCUUGCUGUUUUGACGUUACCAACAGAAUAAGCACCGGCUAACUUCGUG